CAGUGGGUGAGAGACCCACCCGGCUAAAUCGCUCCGGCCGGAAGCACUCGGGGCAGUCAUGUAGGUAACGAAAUGGCUGAAGCCCCCGAGUUAAAGGGUCGCUUUAGGCGGCCUAGCGAGUGUGCAGGCUUUAACGUGA
rfam:Methyloglobulus morosus KoM1 MGMO_3c, whole genome shotgun sequence.